rnacentral:rRNA from 1 species
UAGUCCACGCUGUAAACGAUGAUCACUAGAUGUGUGACCUCUUCGGGGGUUGCGUGUCGAAGCUAACGCGUUAAGUGAUCCGCCUGGGGAGUACGGUCGCAAGAUUAAAACUUAAAGGAAUUGACGGGGGCCCGCACAAGCGGUGGAACAUGUGGUUUAAUUCGACACUCCGCGAGGAACCUUACCUAGGCUUGACAUGCAUAUGCAACCCUCUGAAAGGAGGGUUUCGAGCUUGCUCGGACGUUUGCACAGGUGCUGCAUGGCUGUCGUCAGCUCGUGUCGUGAGAUGUUGGGUUAAGUCCUUCAACGAGCGCAACCCUUGUCGUUAGUUGCUAGUCUUCGGACGCACUCUAACGAGACUGCCUGGGGANCCAGGAGGAAGGUGGGGACGACGUCAAGUCAUCAUGGCCCUUAUGCCUAGGGGCUACACACGUGUUACAAUGGGGGUAUACAAAGAGCAGCGAUACGGGUGACGUGGGAGC